rnacentral:lncRNA from 1 species
UGUUCAUUCUUACUAAGAUUUCCUACUUAAUAUGAUUAUUGAGUUUUCAUCUAUCCAAAUACUCAUGUAAGAUAUUUAACAUAAAUAUUACAGCAAUUAAUACCAGUACUUUUUAAAAAUGAAAUAAACAACUGUUAUGUAUUGUUUUGUAUGAAAUCCCAAUAUGUAAAAAAUGUCUGCCUUACAAAUAAGACAUGUUAGAUGAAGCUAAGGCAGCUAGAUUAGCAGUGUUCGAAAAAAUUGCAAUGCACAAGUUUGUUGUAUUUUGUUAUUAGAAUAAAUUAUCAAAGCUAUUAUAUAUAUGUUAUGUUGAUAAACUGCCAUGAUCCUGUUCAAACUGAAAAAAUGGAGGAGUUGUUCAAUCAUGUUAUAACUACUGAAGAAUGUAAUAUCAAAUCAAGGUACAUAUUAGUGGGUAUCUAGAGUGAAGAUGAAACUUUUAUGCCUUACUUUGCAUUUCCUGGC